rnacentral:misc_RNA from 1 species
UUGUAUGUCUAAAUUUGGCUUGGGAUUUUGUUUGCUUGUUUUUUUUUUCAUCUUUUUCUUGUUGUAUUUAAUAUGGGUUUUUGCUAAUUAGAUCUGUAAUAUGUAAUCAUAUUGUAAUGAAUCAAUUAUUGUUUGUUUGUUAAACAAGCAAACAAAAUCCCAAGCCAAAUUUAGACAUACAACAAAAAUAAAAUUUAAAUAAAACCCGAAAUUAGAGUUAAUAAAAACAUACUCCU